AUUGAACGCUGGCGGCAUGCUUUACACAUGCAAGUCGAACGGUAACAGGCCGCAAGGUGCUGACGAGUGGCGAACGGGUGAGUAAUGCAUCGGAACGUGCCCAGUUGUGGGGGAUAACUGCUCGAAAGAGCAGCUAAUACCGCAUACGACCUGAGGGUGAAAGCGGGGGAUCGCAAGACCUCGCGCAAUUGGAGCGGCCGAUGUCGGAUUAGCUAGUUGGUGGGGUAAAGGCCCACCAAGGCGACGAUCCGUAGCUGGUCUGAGAGGACGACCAGCCACACUGGGACUGAGACACGGCCCAGACUCCUACGGGAGGCAGCAGUGGGGAAUUUUGGACAAUGGACGCAAGUCUGAUCCAGCCAUGCCGCGUGCGGGAAGAAGGCCUUCGGGUUGUAAACCGCUUUUGUCAGGGAAGAAAUCUUCUGGGUUAAUACCUCGGGAGGAUGACGGUACCUGAAGAAUAAGCACCCGCUAACUACGUGCCAGCCGCCGCAGUAAGAC
rnacentral:rRNA from 1 species